AAGUCGUAACAAGGUUUCCGUAGGUGAACCUGCGGAAGGAUCAUUAUAAAAUUUUCUACAUAUUUUAAAUAUGUAAAAAAAAACUUGUAUUCAAAACCCACACUCUUAAAAAACCCAUAAAAAUUUUUUAUGUUCAUAUAUAUAUGCAUAAAAUUUUUUAUAUAUAAAUUAUAAUUAAAAAGACAACUUUCAACAACGGAUCUCUUGGUUCUG
rnacentral:misc_RNA from 1 species